rnacentral:rRNA from 1 species
UGAGGAAUUUUGCGCAAUGGGCGAAAGCCUGACGCAGCGACGCCGCGUGGACGAAGAAGGCCUUCGGGUUGUAAAGUCCUGUCAGUGGGGACGAUGAUGACGGUACCCGCUGAGGAAGCUCCGGCUGACUCCGUGCCAGCAGCCGCGGUAAGACGGAGGGAGCAAGCGUUGUCCGGAAUUACUGGGCGUAAAGAGCUCGUAGGCGGAAAUUUAAGUCUGAGAGUAAAUCCAUCGGCUUAACUGGUGGCUCAUCUUGGAUACUGGGUUUCUUGAGGGCAGGAGAGGAAAGGGGAAUUCCUGGUGUAGCGGUGAAAUGCGUAGAUAUCAGGAAGAACACCUGUGGCGAAGGCGCCUUUCUGGCCUGUUCCUGACGCUGAGGAGCGAAAGCUAGGGGAGCGAACGGG